rnacentral:lncRNA from 1 species
UUACUACUGAAUAUAAAUGAAUACUACUGAAUAUAAGUUAACUGCAUGGUAAGGUGUUUAUAAUUUGUCUUGCAAGUAGCUACAAGUUCUUGGGUACUUAUUUUGAUAUGCUCUCUUUAGUUCAUACAUCUUCAGAUAGAGAAACAGUAGUCAAGGAGAGGAAUCCAAGGAGCUUCACCCACAGCAUAUCUUACUUAGUGCACGAGAUCCUGACUUUGAGAUGAUGCUGUAAUGGUAUGGGAUACGCAUUGCACACACUCCUCUUACUAUGUGACAGUGACGCUCCUUUCAUCAAGAAGUGAGGUCUAUGUUCCCUCUCCUUGAAUCUAGACAGAGCUAUGGGUAUGGCAAAGUGAUACUGUGAGACAUCCAAGGCCUAAAAGUUGACCCAGCUUCCAGAGGAUCUGUCAAGCUGCUUCUCUUAGAACCCAGCCUUGUGCUGUGAGAAAGCUCCAGUCACAUGGAGAGGCCACAAAUGAGCCAUUAAAUGACAGAACCAACCACCACACAUGCAAAUGAAGAAGCCUUCGAGAUGUCUUCAGUAUAGGUCACUGUCUGGUUGCAGCCACAUGAGAGACCCUGAGCAAGAACCAUCCAGCUAAGCCCAGUUAUCCCUCAGAACCAUGAGAG